AAAUUAAAGACAUUGGACGGAGGCCUAGGCAGAAAAAAAAGAACGUUUUCACAACGAAAUGUCAUAGGGAGAGGAAUCUGCGAUCUAUGAAUCUUCUUAGGGAAAGCAUUAAAAUUUCAAAACUUAGCGAACUGAAACAUCUAAGUAGCUAUGUAUAAAAAUCAACCGAGAGUCCGUUAGUAGUGGUGAGCGAAAGCGGAUCAGGCCACUGCAUGAAAAUGAAGCUCCGCUAGCACUCAAGUCGCUAACGCGCCUCAAGUAAAAGGAUGGAAAUCCUUGCCAAAGAAGGUAAUAGCCCUGUUUGUGCCCUUCGGGGCGGAGCAAUGCAUCAAGUUAUUCAAAAAAGAAAAAAAGGUUAAACUUAAGGGGGACCACCCUCUAAGCCUAUGAAAUUUUUUCUGACCGAUAGUGAACAAGUACCGUGAGGGAAAGGUAUGAAAAGAAACCCUGAAGAAGGGGGUGAAAAAGAAUCUACAAAUUCGAUGUCUACAAUCAGUCGUGAUAAAAACGGCGUACCUUUUGCAUAAUGGGUCAGCGAGUAAAAGAUGUUAGCAAGCCUAAGCCCGUAGGUGGAAGCUUAGUUAAUACAAAAAGUUUCAAUGGCUCGAAGCAACGAUUUUGAUGCUUCAUCGUUUCGUUGCUUCGAGCAUCAAAAGCGUUAGAAAUUUUCAAGUUAAAAUCUUUUGACCCGAAACCGAGUGAUCUAGCUAUGAGCAAGUUGAAGAAGUGGUAAUACAUUUUGGAGGACUGAACCUGUGUCUGUGGCAAAAGACUAGGAUGACUUGUUGCUAGGGGUGAAAAGCCAAUCGAACUCGGAAAUAGCUGGUUUUCUGCGAAAUUUAUUGAGGUAAAGCGUUUAAAAAUCCAAAAGAGGUAGAGCACUCGCUGCUUCACCUAAGUGAAGCAUGGAAACUCCGAAGCCUUUUGGUUUAUUUGAAAAUAGACAGACUUAGGAUGCUAAGGUCCUAAGUCAAAAGGGAAACAGCCCAGAUUAUAUGCUAAGGUCCCAAAGCGAUUGCUGCGUGGAAAAGGAAGUCUUUAAGCAAAAACAACCAGGAGGUGGGCUUGGAAGCAGCCAUCCUUUGAAGAAAGCGUAACAGCUCACUGGUCUAGCUUAAAUGCGCCUAAAAUGUCACGGGGCUAAAGCAAUCCACCGAAGCAAUAAUUGUCAACGGCGAAGACCCAGGUAAUCGUGAUGGGUCUAGCUGCGCAAGGUAGCAGAACGUUCUGUAAGUUUAAGAAAGCAAAUCGAUAGAUUAGAGCCCAAAAUAUCAGAAGUGAGAAUGCUGACAUAAGUAACGAUAAAUCAUGUGAUAUCCAUGAUCGCCGAAAGUUCAAGGGUUUCCGCGAUCCGUUAAUCGGCGCGGAGUUAAUCGGCCCCUAAAAAGACUUGGCCAUCGCCAAGCUUUGAUGGGAAAUCUUUAUGUUUGUGAUUUUGAAUUUUUGUUCUUUUUUCAGGGAUUAUUGGAUUUCACUAAAAUGAACUAAAUUCCAGGAAAAACUCACAAUGAUUCACCGUACCUCAAACCGACUCUGGUGAACAGCUGCUAAAGCAGUAAGGCGAUUGAGAAAACUAUGUUGAAGGAACUCGGCAAAUUCACCCUGUAACUUCGGAAGAAAGGGGACCUUAUUAACUAAGGUGGCACGAAAUAGGGGGCGGCGACUGUUUAUUAAAAACACAGGACUCUGCAAAAUGAAAACACGAUGUAUAGGGUCCGACACCUGCCCGGUGCUGUAAUGAUAAGGAUAGGCAGAAAAUUCUGACUUCCCAAUAACCAGUAAACGGCAGCCGUAACUCUAACGGUUGCGAAAUUCCUUGGCACUUAAUUGGUGUCCUGCACGAAUGGUGUAACGAUCGCCCCACUGUCUCCAACAUAGACUCAGUGAAAUUGAAAUCUCUGUGCAGAUGCGGAGUUCUAGCAGCUAGACGGUAAGACCCUGUGCACCUUUACUAUAGCUUUGCAUUGGAAAAAGGUAUCAAAUGUUUAGGAUAGGUGGGAGACUUUCGGGUCAACCUUGAAAUACCACCCUUUUCAUACAAUUUUCCUCACAAUAGCAAUCACUUGACAAAUCUCUCCGAGAGCCGAAAGUGAUCUUGGACCAUGCAUGGUGGGUAGUUUUUCUGGGGCGGAAGCCUCCUAAAAAGUAACGGAGGCGUGCAAAGGUAAGCUCACGCUGGUCGGAAAUCAGCUUUUGAGCGUAAUGGUAAAAGCUUGCCUGACUGCAAGACCCACAAGUCGAGCAGGGACGAAAGUCGGUCAUAGUGACCCGGGAGUUCUGUGUGGAAAGACUCUCGCUUAACGGAUCAUAGGUACGCCAGGGAUAACAGGCUGAUAACCCUCAAGAGUUCUUAUCGACGGGGUUGUUUGGCACCUCGAUGUCAGCUCAUCACAUCCUCGGGGUGAAGAAGCUCCGAAGGGUCGGACUGUUCGUCCGUUAAAGUGGUACGUGAGCCGGGUUUAAUACGUUGUAAAACAGUAUGGUUCCUAUCUACUGCUAGUGUUAUAAACUGAGGGGACCAGUUCGCCGUACGAGAGGAACCGAACUGAUUAACCUCUGGUGUCUAAGUUGUCGUGCCAACGGCAUCGCUUAGUAGCUACGUUGAUUUAUUUUAACCGCUGAAAGCAUCUUAAGCGGGAAAUAUUUCCCAAAACAAGUUUCCGAUUGCGUGGAAGAAGACCACGAGAUAGGCGAAAUGUGAAAUCAUGGAGACAUGUUGUUGGCCCAAGGCCAUAGCUUAUUCGUACUA
rnacentral:rRNA from 1 species